CUGAUUUGGUGAUCCGGCGGUUCAAUUCAUUUAAAUACUUCAUCAACACGGUUUGCUUGCGCCUGUUAGCGUGGUCAAAGGUGGUGCUACUAUACUGAACGACAAAAUCAGUACAGAGAGAAGAAAUAAAUAUUAGUAUUCAAGCAAAGUUAAUUCUCUGCGAUCCAUAUUGUGAACGAUCGUAAUGCAGGAAACAACUGCCAUGUGAAUUUCUUCGCGAAACUUUACUGCGGCGGCAGAGCAUACAUUGCUUCUGAUUAUCGUCAUCACACUCAUCUUCGCCUUAUCAGCUGACGAAUUUGAAUUUUCUUGCAUUCUGCGGUGCUAAGCCGUACCUACCAUUCAUCACGACCACACCGCUGUCGCAAUAUUUCAAGAUCCUUCCAUCAAAAAUUUUCCAGCUAAACGAUAUUUACUCGGGUGAAUUCGCGCAACGCUAAGCUGGAAUUCCCACCGUUCGCCAUCUGCUGAACGCGAUCGUUAAAAACCACCGGCAAACAAUCAUAUUUACAUGCUGGCACAUCUUGCACCUCCAUCCCUCAUUCUUCAACACACUCUGUAGACUUCGGAGUUUUUCAAAGAUAUCUUUAAACUUUUAUUUCGCGCAAGUUUAUAAGGACACUUUACAAUAUGAUUUUCCCAAAAACCGUUUUAAUCAGUUCUACCUUAGUUAUUCCGUCCCGGACCACCACCUUGACGCUGACCCUGCGGUCCUUCUCCACCAGGACCGCGCUGUUCAUUGUUUUGAUCGUUCGAGCCACCUUGUUGCUGAGCGGCCCUAGAGAUUCUAGAAAAUCCAGCGUUUUGUAACUCAGUCUGAUCGAGGUUCUCAUCAUGGUCGUCGUGGCAUUUACAAAAACCCUUGUAACAUAUGGGAAAAUGAAGUGAAAGCUUUAAUUAAUGGAUGAAUAGUUUAGAAGUAUUUACCACUAGUAGAACGGCGCACAUCAAUCCCAGCAUCAUUAUUGUUAGAUUUUUCAUUUUGAAAGUUUGAUUUAAAGAACGUUGAUUCUCAAUACGAAUUGAGGUUCAACCUGCUAUAUUUGAUGACCAGACGAUCCUAUUUAUAGUCAAGGAAUUGACCAUGUGUCACUCCGUUAGUACUGGCAAUAACUAAUUACGAUAAUUUCAAUGCGAUUUCCUGUUGAGAUACUGUGGACUGUAAAUAAUGGUAGAAAUAGAUCAAACACAUUUUAAAGAUUGAUGAGAUGGGAGUGUUAAUUUAUUCUCGCUUAUUUUCCGUCGGCCUAAUUCCGUCAGUACUGUGCCAAUCACCGACGUCCGAGGAGGUUGCUACUCCACAAGGUCCCUAACUACCGAUUUGUUGAAUCAUAAACCAGCGUCAACGUUACUACUCCCCCUUGUGAUGGAAGGCGUGAUUCGAUAUUUGUUUUCUAAAAACGGCUAGACCUAGGUCAUAUUGGGUUGGUUAUAAGUUAAUCACGGUGCCCCAAAUCAUCGACACUUAUCUCAGCGUUGGGUUCGUGAGCCCAGACCACCAGGAUGAUUAGCGGAAACGUCACCAUCUACGGCACAACGACGCUUUCAGCUAUGAGAGUGGUACCCCUUUUAUGUUGCAAUGUGCGGUAUUAUCUUCACUAAUCAACAGCAGUUAAAAUAAUGUACAGACUUGUUAGAGUUUAAGAUACAUACGCAAAAACCUAAUUUCAAUAAAAAACUGGACUCAAAUCAUAAAACACCAGGCCGUUGUAGUUCAUUUGUUAAUCACAUUUG